GACGAACGCUGGCGGCGUGCUUAACACAUGCAAGUCGAACGGAAAGGCCCUGCUUUUGUGGGGUGCUCGAGUGGCGAACGGGUGAGUAACACGUGAGUAACCUGCCCUUGACUUUGGGAUAACUUCAGGAAACUGGGGCUAAUACCGGAUAGGAGCUCCUGCUGCAUGGUGGGGGUUGGAAAGUUUCGGCGGGUGGGGAUGGACUCGCGGCUUAUCAGCUUGUUGGUGGGGUAGUGGCUUACCAAGGCUUUGACGGGUAGCCGGCCUGUGAGGGUGACCGGCCACAUUGGGACUGAGAUACGGCCCAGACUCCUACGGGAGGCAGCAGUGGGGAAUAUUGCACAAUGGGCGGAAGCCUGAUGCAGAAACGCCGCGUGCGGGAUGACGGCCUUCGGGUUGUAAACCGCUUUCGCCUGUGACGAAGCGUGAGUGACGGUAAUGGGUAAAGAAGCACCGGCUAACUACGUG
rnacentral:rRNA from 1 species